AUUUAAACUCAUCGCUCAACUUGCUUAUUUUAUCCCAUUAAUAUAUUUGAGUGACUAACAAGUAACAACCAUGAAGAUAGAGUAUGAAUCAUUUUGUACAAAAAGUUCCACUCAAAAGCAAAAUGUUAAAAGAAACUCUGAACACAUACAAAAUGAACUUUGAGAAUAGCUGGAGGACUAUUUGUAAAAUUUUUCAUUUUUACAUUUAGCGAUUUGAUCUCUUCCGAAAGCCCUCUCACGACCAAAGACAGAAUUACAAGAAACAUUGGUAGUGGGUAUGUCGAUUUCAUCUCUUCCCUUUCAAUCUGCAUACACAUGUGCAUAGAUCUUCAUCUAAAUAUAUGCUUCACCUGAUUUCAUUAAAUAACAUCUUUAUACGAUGGGUGUCGAAGGAAAUUGCACGUUACAUGUUCGACGAAAUGCCAGUUAGGUAUUCAUUUUAGCAUACAUUGAUUGUGAUCGAAAUUACAUCGUAACCAAAGGCGUUUGGCUCAGUUAUGGAAAUAGAGCUUUUGAAUCCUUUCAUAUUGUCUUUCCAUGUGCAUAAGUGUCUUCAAUUUCAUCAGUAUAUCGACAUAUUGUAAUUGCAAGUCCUUGAAGCCGUAUUAUUAGUGUGCAUAAUAAAAGGCCAUAUGGUGUUGUGCUUUCCCUCAACGCCUAAUAAGCUGUGGAUGACUGUGGGUUUGUUUCUUGGUGGUUCAUCUCUUUUUGGCGUUGGUUUGUAUCUUUCUUAUGUCCAUAUUGCCCCUCAACAAGCUCGAAUAAAAGCCCGAAAUGAUUAUGUAAGAGAUAGGUUGAAAAAGAAAUACGGGUAUGACAAAUUCACCACCCAGCCAAACAAAGACUAAUUUCACUUCAUGUCAAAGGAAAUGGAAUAGGAAGCAUGAAAAUGACCAAAAUACCCUUUCUUUAAUUUUGUAUGGAACUUGUUGUGUUUAGUAUCAAUUUACAGGUCGUAUCAAAAUUGUGCCUUUGAUAUGAGUACCACAUUCUUAAGCACACACCAUUGGAUUUUGCAUUGUUGGAUGGAAUGGAAUGAACUAACAAAUGAAUGGAAUGGCUAAGAUAAUUGAAUAAGCAAAAGAUAAUGGAAUGAGUCAUUCCAUUCUAUGAUCAUAUUUGGUGUUGGCUUGUAUGAAUGGAAUGAAUUUUCAUAUGAAUACUUUGUAUGGUAUAUUGGUAUGUAAAUACAAGUUAUAAUUUUAAUACCAUUAAAUAUAUUAUUUGAUUA